CCUUCAUGAAGCCGGAAUUGCUAGUAAUGGCAGGUCAGCAUACUGCCGUGAAUACGUUCCCGGGCCUUGUACACACCGCCCGUCACACCAUGAGAGUUGGGGAUACCCGAAGCCUGUGAGCUAACUAUUUAUAGGAGCAGCAGUCGAAGGUAGAAUCAAUGAUUGGGGUGAAGUCGUAACAAGGUAGC
rnacentral:rRNA from 1 species